rnacentral:rRNA from 1 species
GAUGAACGCUGGCGGCGUGCUUAACACAUGCAAGUCGAACGGAACUGUUUGAAUGAAGUUUCGGAUGGAUUUUAAACAGUUUAGUGGCGGACGGGUGAGUAACGCGUGGGUAACCUGCCUCGCACUGGGGGAUAACAGUUAGAAAUAGCUGCUAAUACCGCAUAAGCGCACAGCUCCGCAUGGAGCAGUGUGAAAAACUCCGGUGGUGUGAGAUGGACCCGCGUCUGAUUAGCCAGUUGGCGGGGUAACGGCCCACCAAAGCGACGAUCAGUAGCCGGCCUGAGAGGGUGAACGGCCACAUUGGGACUGAGACACGGCCCAA